GAACGAACGCUGGCGGCGUGCCUAACACAUGCAAGUCGAACGGAGUUAGGAGUAUUUAUACUACUAAUUUAGUGGCGAACGGGUGAGUAACGCGUGAGCAACCUAACCUUCAGCGGGGGAUAACACUUGGAAACAAGUGCUAAUACCGCAUAAGACCACACUUUCGCAUGGAAGAGAGGUCAAAGGAGCAAUUCACUGAAGGAGGGGCUCGCGUCCCAUUAGAUAGUUGGUGAGGUAACGGCCCACCAAGUCAGCGAUGGGUAGCCGAGCUGAGAGGCUGAACGGCCACACUGGAACUGAGACACGGUCCAGACUCCUACGGGAGGCAGCAGUGGGGAAUAUUGGGCAAUGGGCGAAAGCCUGACCCAGCAACGCCGCGUGAGGGAAGAAGGCUUUCGGGUUGUAAACCUCUGUCGCAGGGGACGAAAAAAAUGACGGUACCCUGUGAGGAAGCCCCGGCUAACUACG
rnacentral:rRNA from 1 species